rnacentral:rRNA from 1 species
AUCUGCAAGCUAAGCAAGAGCAGUCCUGGUUAGUACUUGGAAGAGAAAUUCCCAAGGAAUACCAGGGAUUUCCAGAUA